AGAAUCAACGCUGGCGGCGUGCCUAACACAUGCAAGUCGAACGAGAAAGUGGAGCAAUCCAUGAGUAAAGUGGCGCACGGGUGAGUAACACGUGACUAACCUACCCUUGAGUGGGGAAUAACCUAGGGAAACCUGGGCUAAUACCGCAUAACACCUACGGGUCAAAGGAGCAAUUCGCUUAAGGAGGGGGUCGCGGCAGAUUGGCUAGUUGGCGGGGUAAUGGCCCACCAAGGCAGUGAUCUGUA
rnacentral:rRNA from 1 species